rnacentral:rRNA from 1 species
CAGGAACGCUGGCGGCAGGCUUAACACAUGCAAGUCGAGCGCCCCGCGAGGGGAGCGGCAGACGGGUGAGUAACGCGUGGGAAUCUACCCAUCUCUACGGAAUAACGCAUGGAAACGUGUGCUAAUACCGUAUACGUCCUUCGGGAGAAAGAUUUAUCGGAGAUGGAUGAGCCCGCGUUGGAUUAGCUAGUUGGUGGGGUAAAGGCCUACCAAGGCGACGAUCCAUAGCUGGUCUGAGGGGAUGAUCAGCCACACUGGGACUGAGACACGGCCCAGACUCCUACGGGAGGCAGCAGUGGGGAAUAUUGGACAAUGGGCGCAAGCCUGAUCCAGCCAUGCCGCGUGAGUGAUGAAGGCCCUAGGGUUGUAAAGCUCUUUCACCGGUGAAGAUAAUGACGGUAACCGGAGAAGAAGCCCCGGCUAACUUCGUGCCAGCAGCCGCCGUAAUAC